GCUGGGAAACGAUGAGAAGUUACCUCUAGUUGUCAAAGGCACUAACUGUGCUGAUUGUAUCCUUUUUCACGUCUGUCUUAUCCCAUU